GACGAACGCUGGCGGCGUGCUUAACACAUGCAAGUCGAACGGAAAGGCCCUGCUUUUGUGGGGUGCUCGAGUGGCGAACGGGUGAGUAACACGUGAGUAACCUGCCCUUGACUUUGGGAUAACUUCAGGAAACUGGGGCUAAUACCGGAUAGGAGCUCCUGCUGCAUGGUGGGGGUUGGAAAGUUUCGGCGGUUGGGGAUGGACUCGCGGCUUAUCAGCUUGUUGGUGGGGUAGUGGCUUACCAAGGCUUUGACGGGUAGCCGGCCUGAGAGGGUGACCGGCCACAUUAGGCCUGAGAUACGGCCCAGACUCGUACGGGAGGCAGCAGUGGGGAAUAUUGCACAAUGGGCGGAAGCCUGAUGCAGCAACGCCGCGUGCGGGAUGACGGCCUUCGGGUUGUAAACCGCUUUCGCCUGUGACGAAGCGUGAGUGACGGUAAUGGGUAAAGAAGCACCGGCUAACUACGUG
rnacentral:rRNA from 1 species